ACAAUUCUGGGAAUGUUCAGGCUCUCUCUGUUCUUUCCUCUCUUGCAAACCAUGGGCACCCUUGGGUCCCUUGGGGUCACUAUGUUACACCUGCUUUUUAUCUGUCUGGGCAAGAGCUGCUCAAGCCACACCUUGUGACACUGAGAUCAGCUAUGAAAAUACCCAGCCGGCCUGCAGCCCUCCCGGCAGAUGCUGAAAAGGAAACCCGACUGGGAGAUGCCGCCCACCCUUGUCCCCAGAGAGCUGCGUUGUUUCCUCCUGCCUCGGCCUUUGGAUCCGGCCACAGCAAGCAUCCCUGGGCACCUGGCUGAAGCUGGAAACUCGGGAUAAGAAUGGAAGCCCUGGAAGGGAAGAAGAACCGAGGAGAGGACAGCACAUCGCACUCUCACCUCCUUUGCAGUUAAGUGUGAAAUAGUGCCAAUAGAGUGUGAAAGAAAAGAAAGAAGAUGAUUCACCUCCCAAAGAUUCCCCACUGCUGUGUCCCUUCUAUCAACUUGAUACAAAAAAACACAAUGGCCCCGGGAACCACGUGUUGAAGAUGAGAGAGCUAAAAGAUGGAAAGAGACUGGAGCCCUGAGUCACCACCUGGAGGAAAACUACC
rnacentral:lncRNA from 1 species